rnacentral:lncRNA from 1 species
GUGUUGGAGCUGCCGGACAAGGAAGCACUUGAAAAUUGCUUUGCGAUUUCUAUAACAGGUUGCCGUAUUCAGGAGCUUCCUCAAGGAUUGGAAUGCUUGCAACUCGAAUUUUUAUAUGUAUCUCCCAAAGACUCUUACCUUCAAAUCAAUAUUCCUGAGAACUUUUUUGCAGGGAUGCGGAAGCUUAGAGUUGUAGAUUUUACUGGGAUGCAAUUAUAUUGCUUGCCAUCUUCAAUUGAUCUCUUAGUAAAUCUUCAAACACUAUGUUUAGAUCAAUGCAUGUUGGGAGACAUAGCUAUUAUUGGAAGGUUGAAGAAUCUGGAAAUCCUUAGCUUUUUAAAAUCAGAUAUUGUGCAGUUGCCUGAAGAACUACGUGAAUUGACUAAGCUAAGGUUGUUAGAUUUAUCCAAUUGUCUCCGGCUAAAAGUUAUUGCACCCAAUGUCCUAUCAAGCUUAACUCGAUUGGAAGAACUCUACAUGAAAAAUUGCUUUAUCGAAUGGGAGGUUGAAAGCCCCAAUAGUGGAAGAUGUACUGCCAGCCUUGUUGAGUUGUUGCAAUUGCCUCGACUGACCACUCUAGAAAUAGAUGUCAAAAAUGAUAGUAUUUUACCAGAAGGAUUUUUUGCAAAAAAAUUAGAAAGGUUCAAAAUAUCAAUAGGAGAUGAGUCAUUCAAGCCUCCCGUGCUUGCGAAUGAAUGGUUCCGUAGUCGGCGGCUUUUGAUCAGUAAUCCUUCGAGUUUAAGAACCAUUAAGCUGAAGCUUAGCUCAAAGCCUAUUUGCUCGAAGAAAAUGCAGGGCAUCCAGAAUGCUGAAUACUUGUGUUUGGACAAGCUGCAAGGUGUGAAUAAUGUUCUUUUCGAUAUGGACACUGAGGGCUUUCUACAGUUGAAGCAUCUCCAUGUUCAAAAUAAUCCUGAAUUCUCGUGUGUUGUUGACUCAACGGAGAGGGUAUCUCGCGAUGCCUUUCCUCUUUUGGAGUCACUUACUCUUUACAAUUUGAUUAACAUGGAGAGGGUGUGUACUGAUCCACUCAAAGUAGAGUCUUUCUGUGAACUUAAAACCAUAAAAGUGGGAAAAUGUGAUGAGUUGAGUAAUAUCUUCUUGCUGUCUUCCACAAGCUGCCUUCCCAGACUUGAGAGGAUUGCAGUUUUUGAUUGCGAUAAGAUUGAAGAGGUCUUUGCAAUUGGUGGAGAACCAGAUGUCGACAACUAUAAUACAAUGGAGAAGACAGAGUUUGCUGCAUUAAAAUGUUUACAUCUGCGGAAGCUUCCAAAGCUUGAAAGUUUUUGCUCUGAAGUAAAGAGACCAAAUACACAAGAGUCGCAAGAGGAAUUGACAGCUAUUACUUGCUCGAACGAAAUCAGUUUGUUGGAGGAGGACAAGCUUGAUACUUCGACACCGCUUUUCAAGGAGAAGGUAAGCAAUUAUAAUGAAACCAAAGCAUUCGUUUUUCUUUCUCAAUUUAUUCUAUCGUGCAUUCUCAUUUGAUGACAACUGUAGAAAAUAAAUUAUAAGGGAAAUAGAAAAUGAGAAUGGAAAUUAGAAUCUAACACACUCACUCACUAAGCUCGCUUUACACAUUAAUGAUGUGAAUUAAAUUGCAGAUUAAGUGUAUGUUUGGUAUGGUAAUAAUUCUCAAAAAAUCAUUUUUAGCACAGAUUUCUAAAAACUAUAUUUGAAAAAAGUUUUAACACAAUGUUUUGUAAAUGGGUGAGCUAUUUGCACCUCAAAAAUUACUCUAAACACUCUAAUUGAAAUAAAAAUUUAUAACAAAAAUAUCUAUCAUAUGAAUUACGUUAAGGACAAUUUAUUAUAAGUCAAUAUUACAUAAUUACUAUGAACGCCCCAUAUAACACACUCAUUAUUUAAUAUAUAUAAUUUUCAUGUUUUAAACCUUAAAAAAUUUUAUUUACAAAAUCUUCAUCAAUACUUAGAUGAAUAAUGAUAAAAUCAAUAUUUUUCUUUUAUUUUUCCAUAAAUAAAAUUAAUUUUGCACUCAUUAUUUUUAUUUUUUCAAAAAUAAAGUAAGUAUCUUUUUCCUUUUAUUGGGCUUUUGACCUCUUUUUUUUUUCUUCUUUGUCCUCUUCUCUUCUUCUCCUUCCUUUUUUAGAGUUAUUAUGGAAUAUUUCUUCUUAUUAUUUUCUCAUUGCAAGUUAUUUUAAGUGCAAAAUCCAAUAUUAAACAUAAGUAAACAAAAAAAUUAAUAACUAAAAUACUUGUUUUACUAUUUAAAUUACAUUCGGUACACAUGCAUGUUUGGUAAUUUACUAUUAUAAAAUACAUGUUUUAUUAUUUUUCAAAAAUAAAAGAGGUUUUUUAUAAUUCAUAAAUAAUAUUGAGCACACUAUUUUAAUAAUCACUUUUCAAUUACAUUUGUCAAACUCUUUGGUACAUUAGAUUGUCAAAUGAUCAAAUACCAAACACGCACUGAAGCUGUCACUUGGAAGAAGGUUUUGAUGGCUUAUAUUUACAAUCAAAGAAGAUACUUCUCAGCUUAUAUUGGAUCUAAUAAAAAAUUAAUGUUUAGGUUGUGCUCCCCAGCUUGGAGGAUUUGAAGCUGGUUGGAAUUAAUGUCGAAAAGAUUUGGCAAAAUCAACUUCCAGCCAUGUUUCUUUGCUUUCAAAGUUUAACUAAAUUGAUCGUGGGGAAGUGUCACAAAUUAAAAUGUAUAUUUUCGACUUCUAUGCUCAGAAGCUUUGAACAACUCCGACAGCUGAAUAUAUACAACUGUAUGGGUUUGCUUGAGAUUAUUUCCGAAGGAGCAGAUCAAGUGCCACCUUGUUUUAUCUUUCCGCGGCUGACAUUUCUAAGACUACGUAAACUACCAGAACUUAGAUGUUUAUAUCCUGGAAUGCAUACUUCGGAAUGGCCGGCACUAAAAAUGUUGAAGGUCUUUGGUUGUGACAAAAUAAAGUUAUUCGGUUCCGAAUUAUCUAGCUUCCAUGGAAACAUUGAUAAGAAUCAGCUUCAUAUCCCAGCGCAACAGCCCCUGUUGUUGAUCGAAAAGGUAUAUAUGCAACCAUUUAUUUGAUUUUUUAUCAGUUGAGUCUUACUGUUUCUUAUGUUUUACGUUUGAUUCUUUGUUGCAAAGAAACUCACAAACAAAAGAUUUUAGAAAUACCCACUGUACAUGUAUGUAUUGCUCAAAAUUGUUUGACAGAACAUCAAUAGAACUAAUUAGUUUUUAUAUGAGUUGAUGAUGUUCAGAUCUUCCCCAGCUUGGAGAAACUCCUAUUAAGUGGAAAGGAUUUCAGGAUGAUUUUGCAGGGUGAUUACCCACAAAACCUAUUUGGCAGUCUUAAAUACAUUAAGGUUGCGGAUGAUGACUCAGCUUGUUUUCCACUUGGUUUACUUGAGAAAUUUCAAAAUCUGGAAAUCCUCUUUCUGAGUUGUACUUCAUACACAGAGAUAUUAUCAAAUGAAGGACACUCGGAGAAGCACGUGGGCAAGUUCUCACAAGUAAAACAUUUACAGCCGUACAAACUGAAUGAUCUGAAGCACCUAUGGAAACAAGACUCCAAACUGGACUCCAUUCUUGCAAAUCUUGAAAUUCUACGAGUAUAUUGUUGUCAAAAUCUGACUGUUCUAUUGCCAUCAUCAUCGGUAUCGUUUUGGAAUCUAACAGAUCUGCAAGUUUGGGGCUGCAAGAAAUUGAUGAAUUUGGUAACAUCCUCCACAGCAAAGAGUCUAGUGCGCCUCAUGACAAUGAAGGUGUGUGGGAGCAAAGCAAUGACACAAGUGGUGGUAAGUGAGGAAGAUGGAGCAGAAGAUGAAAUUGUUUUCAGCAAAUUGAAGACAUUGUCUCUGCUUGAUUUAGAUAGCCUCACAAGUUUCUACUCUGGCAAUUACACCUUCAAAUUCCCAUCUCUACAAGAUUUAGAAGUGAUUGGUUGUCCCAAGAUGAAGAUUUUCACCACAGGAGAAUUAUGCACACCGCCGAGAGUAAAUGUCUGGUAUGGAGAGGGAGAUGGUGAAUGUCGUUGGGCUAAUGACCUUAACGUUACGAUACAAGAGUUGCAUGCUGAAAAGGUACGGUUAACCCACCAACUUAACUCCCAAGGAAAAAUUUUACAAAUUUGCACUUUUUAACAAAAUUUAGAAAAUAGAUCAUGGACAACCAAGUUUGACUCAUUAGAAUAUUUAUUAUUGAGUAAGUGCAUGAUCGGGUUUGAAAAAGUAUGAGACACUUCUGUAUGUAGUUCUUGAAACUGUCCAAUUUAAAACAGACAUAUUCAAUUCUCAAAAAAUCAUGAAUCAUUAGUUUUAACUUCAUAAUAUAAAAGUCGUGUCAAAUUAAUGAAUGAGAAUUUUGUUUUCAGAUGUUGGAGGGGUCGUCAUCUAACUUGAGGAAGUACGAUUGGUGAUCAUGUUGGCUUUUUAAUUUAUUACUUGGAGUUGUGAAUUUGAAGAAUAAAGUCCCAGGUAAAUAAUUUAAUUUCCCUUAUUUGAUCUCAUAGCUUGUUUCAUCGGUUCACCUGAACUAUUUAGAUUGCGUCACUGGUUUAUUGUUAACUUUAAAAUGAAGUUUUAAUGUUUCAUUCGGGGCUUUAUGAGCAAAUUUUACAUCAUUGAAUGUCCUUUGGUCUGAACUUUUGAGCUUUUUGUUUGAUAGUCAAGGCUUUAUAGUAUGCUAUUUAUAAUUCCUUAAGAAUGUGCAAAAUUUUUUAUGAUAAAAUUGCUUGAAUAUGUCAUUGAAAGGAACUUCUAUGUUGCUCUUUAUGAUUACAGAGUUCUCAAUGUUAUCACUCUUCUUUUGCAGGAUGUGGAAUCAAAGAUACUUUUCUAUGAAAUUUGUGUUCCUUGUAUUAAAAGUUUACAUGCUGAAGGGCUUCCUGUGUUAUCUUUGCUGUUCUACUUGUGCUUUACUUCAUUGUGUCGCUACAGCUUUGUGAGUGUUAUGUUAACUAUUGUUUCCUUCAUUUGGGCAUUGUAAGUUUCGAAGGCGCUACAUUGCUUGACUAAAGAUGCUUAAAUUUAUCAUCUGUUUGUACCCCUUGUAUUAUAUACAAUAAAUUUUUGAUGUAUUUUGACAUUUAAUACGAGAUAUGUUUGAAUUUUCAUUGAAAGGUUUCAUAAUUGUUCAAAUUUAUCUUCAGUUUUAUUUUUGUUAUCUUGUUGGAACCAAAUUGACAACCAAGAUCAAUUUGGAACACCCAAGAUCCACUCUAAGAAACUUGAUCUUAACUAGGUCUGAUACUAGACUGAGUUUAAGAAGAAAUUUGCCUAGGUAAGUGGAAUCAAACACAACUCAAGGAACAAAAGCAGAAAAGAAAGAAAACAGAUCUCACACACAGCACCAAGAUUUAUAGUGGUUCGGCCAUUUUCUUGCCUAUAUCCACUGUGAAAAGAGAAGCAAGCUUUCACUGAUUUCAGAGAUUACAAGUCACAGAGAUGAAGAGUAUGUGUAACAGAAUCGAAACCCCUCAGUAACAGAUCAUAGAGCCUUUUACAUUUCAAUCAAAACCCUCUAAAAGGACCCCAAACAAUCAGCUCACGCUCCUGGGUUUCUCAGCUAAGCAAUCCCAGCUGCAUCUGCAUCCCGCGUGAAUUAACUGAAUUAACAGCUUCUGGAACUGCUCAGGGACACUUGUCAAAUGCUCGUAUAAUUUGCUACUUCAAAAACCGACAUGACAUCACUUCCUUCCCCAAGCAUCAGACACGUCAUACACAUUCCCGAAUCCAGAUUUGAGCUUCCCCUCUUCAGCAUAUCUCAAAUACAUGUUAGGCCUUGCAUGCAUAGACGCACGUAAUAUCCCAGAAGAGUUUUAUCAGAUGAUUUUACUAUCAUCGUUGUUGUUGCUGCUCCCGCCGCCGCCAUUAUUACUAUUAUUAUACUACUACUUGAAAAUUUCAAGUAUUUUAGAUGAGAAAUUUAUUAUGUUAGAGAUAUUCAUAAUAUACAUGAUGCUGAAAUCAGGGAAUUUGUUGUCUCAGUUUGUUUUAUUUUUGUUUGCCUCGAAUCAAAUUUUGAAAUUUAAGAACUAUGGUAAGAGAUGGAACAAGAGGAGUUAAAAAAUUUGCCAAAAUUGAUGUAGCAAUGAAACAAUUGUAUCCUAACAUGUUUAGCAUCAUUCUACUUUAUGAUCAUUGUUGUUCCGUUAUUUUAGUUCUUGCUCUGUUUGUUCUGUUUCUCUGUUUAUUUCACUGGGGGUUUGCUUCACAAAAUCUUACUUUCAAAAUUUAGAAGGCAAGGAAAGAGCGCUUCGAAAAUGCAAGAGGUAUCAAAUCAUGCAUUAAAAAACUUGUUGGCUGCUGGCUGGUCUAUUUCAUUGGCACCGAUCGAAUCAUUAUCCCUAAAAUAAUUAGGAGUCGGAGAUAUAAGUGUGAAAAUAACAGGAUCAUUUACAACAUGGAAAUCAGUCGCCAUUGGUAGGUGGCGCUGCAUAUGAUAAUAACAACUGAUUGAUACCAACAAAGUGUUGGCUCCACUGGUAAUGGAGUCCCCUUAAGUGGCUUGACUGGAUUUGCUCCCCAGUUCGAGUCGCAGGGAAGUCGCCUUUGUUGGGAGAAUCUGUGCCUCCCGGUUCGAGCGGAGACUUCUAGUCUGGGUUGUGGUACGGGCUUAAAGGUGCCUCCCACAGUUGGGGCCCUCCCCAGGAUACCUCGUGAUUAAUAUAAAAAAAAAAAAACAACUGAUUGAUGAAAUUAAUGCCAUCAAUCUGCCUGUUAAUGUUGUUGACGCGUGUCAAAUUUUCAUGCAUAUUAGAAUUUAUUAGUGAGGUUGCAUUAUGGUCCAUAUCGUCAAUAACUUUAGCAGUCAAAUUUUACGCCACUGGAGUCAAAUUUUCAUGCAUAAAGCUGUUGGCUGGUCUGUUUGGCUCUACAAUGAUUUAUCUUUUCGACUUAAAAUGAUUCCAAAAAGCCAUCAGCAAUCUCUAGUGCAACUCUUCAAAAAAAAAAAUUAAAAUAAAAAUAAAAGUCUCAAAAAGUAUCAUUAAUUUAAUUCUAUUGUUUCCGGGUAAUCAGAACGUGUUUGAUAAAUAUUUAUAAGUUACAGUUUGAAAAUUAAAUAGAUUUUAUUUAACAAAAAGAUAUUGUUGACGCGUGUCAAAUUUUCAUGCAUAUUAGAAUUUAUUAGUGAGGUUGCAUUAUGGUCCAUAUCGUCAAUAACUUUAGCAGUCAAAUUUUACGCCACCGGAGUCAAGUGAUUUUUAAGCAGUUUUAUUCAACUGGUUACCUGAGUUCGAAUCUUAAAGAGAUAAAUAGUUAAAAAUGAAUUUAGACUUUGCCUACUCCUUUAAUAAAAAAAGAAGGUCAUUUAGUCUUAACUUUUGAAAUUUUUAUUUGACAUUUCGGCUUUAUAGCAUGCGAUGUAUUUUCUUAAAUUUUAUAAUUCCUUGAGAAUGUGCAAACAUUUUAUGAUAAAAUUACUUAAAAAUGUCGUUGAAACGAACUGAACUUUUUAUGUUGAAAGAAAGCCUUAUUAUUUUUCUGUACUUCUAUGUAAUGCUUUAUGGUUACAAAAUUCUCAUUGUUAUCACUCUUCUUGUGCAAGAUCUGUAAUGAAAGAUACUUUUCUGUCAAAUUUGUGUUCCUGAUAUUAAAAGUUCACAUGCUGGGGGGCUUCCUAUUUCAUCUUUGUCAUUCUACUUGUGCUUUGCUUCAUUGUGUAGCUACAGCAUUAUAAGCGUUACCAUAACUUAUCUGCAGCAAUUUUAUAAUUUACUAUUAUUGUGGUUGUUGCUGCUAUCAUUGUUCUACUAGUUGGAAAAUUCGAAUUCUUUUAGACGUGACAUUUAUCAUAUUAGAUAUUCAAGGUAUACAUACAUGCAUAUAUAUAUAUAUAUAUAUACUGGGUAUCUGUUUAGAUAUGAUGCAGAGAAAUGACAGAAGUUGUAUUAAGUGACGAAGAUUGAGCAGCAAAACAAGAGAUAGUUUUCAGCAAAUUAAAGACGUUGGCUCUGUUUGAUUUAGUUAGACUCACAAGUUUCUGCUCUGGCAAUUGCACUUUCAAAUUCCCAUCCUUGCAAGAUUUAACUGUGAUUGACUGUCCCAAGAUGAAGAAUUUUACUAGAGGAGAAUUAUGGAUGCCAUCUGGUACGGAGAGAGAGAAGAUGAAAGCCGUUGGGCUAAUGACCUUAACACAACCAUACAACAACUACAUGCAGAAACGGUAUGAUUAAUUCACUAUUCUAUCUCCAAUGGAAAAGUUUUACAAAAUUUGCAAUUUUUUAACAAAACGUAGAAAACUGAUCAUUGACAAGUUAGUUUGAUUCAUUAGAAUAUUCGCUAUUACUUUUGUAUUUAAUUCAUCAAACUGUCCUAUUUAAUAUUGACAUUUUCACAAAAGUUAGAUAAUGUUUUUCAAUUCUCACAAAUUCGUUAAUAAUUAGUUUUAAUUUCAUAAUAUGAAAAUCUUGUCAAAGAAAUUGUGUUAUUAAACUUAUUAAAUCUCUCGCUAGUGGCUUCCUUCCUAAUCUCCAUGUGCUUUAGUAUUUAUUUCCAAGUGCCUAAUUUUACGACUUUUAAUUUAGAUUAAUGAAUGACAAUUCUUAUUUUUUCAGCUGUUGGAGGGGCUUUCAUCUUAGUCGACUUUAUACAAGUAAUCUGAUCAAAUACAUUUUAGUACUUGGAUAAGAUGUGGAUUUGAAGACUAAAGAUCGCAGGUAACUAAUUUUAUUACUUAUGUACUUUUCUCAUGGUUUUGUUUCAUCGUUUCAUCUAAACUCUUUGGAAUGCAUUAAUUUUGUUUAUUGUUAAUUUGGAACGAAGUUUUAACGUAUCAUUCAGGGAUUUUGUUUGCAUCAUUGAGGGUUGUUUGGCCUUAACUUCUGAGGUUUUUGACAUUCAGCUUUAUAUUGUGCUAUUUUUUGUAAUUUUAUAACUUCUUGAAAGCAUGCAUAUAUUUUUUUUCUUAUCAUGAUGCCUCGAAAAUGUCAUUAGAAGGGACAGCAGUUUUCUUUUUCUUAUUUAUUUUCAAGUAUCUACGUUUGCGAAUUUUAGUUCAACUUGUUGAAUGGGAAUUUUGUUUUCAGCUACGUACAAGACGAUGCCGCUGCUGCUGCCAUUGUUACUGUCAUAGUUACUAUUACUCGAAAAUUUCAAGUAAUUUAGUUGUGAAAUUCAUUAUGUUAGAGAUAUUCAAAAUAUAUAUGAUGCUGAAAGAAAAGAGUGGACUUGUUGUCUCAGUUUGUCUCAUUUUGUUUUCUCCAACUCUAAUUUUCAAAUUUUAGAAAUAUGGUAAGAGAAGGAACAAAAUGAGUAAAAAAAUUGUCAAAAUAGUUGUAGCUAUGAACAAUUAUAUCCAAACACAUUUAGCAUCAAUCUACUUUGCCAAAUUUUUUAGUCAUCGUCUUUGCUCGGUUGUUUUAGUUUUUGCCCUGUUUGUUCUCUUUAUUUUGAUUGAGUUUGCUUUACAAAGUCUAUCUUUCAAAACUUAGAAGGCGAGGAAAGAGCGGGUAGGAAAUGCAAAAGGUAUCAAAUCAUGCAUAUGGUCAAAUGCUCCUGUAUAUGAACACAUAAAGAACAAUUGAAAUAUCAUUCACCGGAUAACACAAACAAAUAAAAAAAAAAAAAAAAAGAAGAAAGAGAGAAAAUCUAAUCGUCUCAUUAUCCCGAACACAAAUAAUUAAACCAUCAAAUGUUUGCAAUGAGCACAAUCAGAUCAUCUCUUUGGAAUAAUUACAUGUUGGCUUGGCCUAUUUUUUGGCCGGUAAAAAGGUUUUUGGCUGGAGCAUUUGGCCUUAACUUUUUUUUUUUUUUGAGUCUAUAUCAAUUGAUGCCACUAUGUCAAUAAUAAUUGGUAGGAAAUAAAUUAAUAUGUAACUAUAUCUUCUUAAUUAAUUAUUUGUUUUUUUAUCCAUUUACAUUGGAAAAAAGGGGUGCAGGGUCAGGAAGCUUCUUAGACGUGGCACGUUCAAAAGCUUUUUUUUUUUUUUGUCUGAACCACAUGGUCCUGAGUAGGCCCUAACUGUGGGAGAUACCUUUAAGCUCAUACCACAAUCCAAACUAAUCUCCACUCGCACCAGGUCGGCCCGUAAGGGAUAAAGUACUGGCUAAAGUGGUGACUCCAUAUAAGAGCGGGGCUUGAACCUCUGACCUCUCUUAAGAAGUGAGAGUGCCGAACCACUCUGUUCAAAAGCUUUUCUUUUUUAAAAGCUGCGUCAAGCAUGACACGUCAACAUCAUUUACAAGUGGGAACAACUCUUUUUCAUAAAAGAAAAGCCUUUUUUGUUUUAAAAUAAAGUUUUUUUGGAUGAUUCACUAUUACUAAUUGCCCAAGUCAUUCUAUUGCGAAUACAUGCAAAUUAAUAAAGAGACUUGUGGGGUUGCUGGAUAGAAAUUGUUGAAUACAUACAAAUUAUUGAACAGAAAUCCAAUAAUUGAACACCGGCCAAUUCUUGUCCAAUCAAAUUAAAACUCAAUUAAUAUAUUCCACUAAAUUUUUCGUACAACAUCCUAUUCAGAUGAAUAAAAUGUAAAAAAUAAAAUAUAUAAUUCAAAAAAUUAUAAAGGAUGCAAUUUAGCAGGUCAUACAAUAUACCAACAUCAUUUACAAGUGGGAACAACUCUUUUUCAUAAAAGAAAAGCCUUUUUUGUUUUAAAAUAAAGUUUUUUUGGAUGAUUCACUAUUACUAAUUGCCCAAGUCAUUCUAUUGCGAAUACAUGCAAAUUAAUAAAGAGACUUGUGGGGUUGCUGGAUAGAAAUUGUUGAAUACAUACAAAUUAUUGAACAGAAAUCCAAUAAUUGAACACCGGCCAAUUCUUGUCCAAUCAAAUUAAAACUCAAUUAAUAUAUUCCACUAAAUUUUUCGUACAACAUCCUAUUCAGAUGAAUAAAAUGUAAAAAAUAAAAUAUAUAAUUCAAAAAAUUAUAAAGGAUGCAAUUUAGCAGGUCAUACAAUAUACCAAAAAAAGUCUUGGGGGUGCAGUGGGAAUAUUUCUUGACAGAAAGAGUCUUAAAAAUUUUUUCGCCAGAAAACAUUUUCUCUCUCUGAUCUCUGUAUUCUUCAGAUCCUCCUCCUUGCUUGAACGUCUGUAACUUUGUCAUCCAUGAUUUGCAUUCAAUUCUUGACGAAAAAACCUUUUUCCGGAUUUUCAUCUUUUGAUCUCAAACAUGCUUUGCUUCUGUUGAUUGUGGUCGCUUCUAGUGCUAGUUCUCUUCUUAUAUAGCUUUGUUCCCUUUUGCCAUCAGCUCUUUGCAUUUCCUUGGAUGAAGAAACCUUUUUCUUGUUUCAAUUUUCUGAUCUCAAAAGCACUUUGAUUCUAGUCUGCCACACUGAUUUUGUCCUUGUUUUGUACAAACAUAAUUUCGCCAUUAUCUGUUUGAUUAUCAAUUGACCCGUCGUUGACUCUAUUCUAUUUCUAUGUGAAAAAUACGAAAAAAAAAAAAAAGAGAUUGAAGAUGGUGGAAAGCAUUGUUACUGUUGUUUUAGAAGUUGUGAAAUGCUUGGCUCCUCCGACACAACGCCAACUUGAUUACUUGCGAAACUACAAUGAAAACAUUCAGAAACUCGAGGCAGAAACCGAGAGCCUGAAGGUUGAAAUUAGGAGCAUUGAGCGCAGAGUUUUUGGGGCCGAAAAACAAGGAGAAAAGAGUGAAGAGAAAGUCGAGAAGUGGUUGGUUAGCGCCAACAAGAUCAUUGAUGAGGUGAAUGCCAAAUUCAUGGGAGAUGAAGAGACUGCAAAUAAGCGAUGUCUCAAGGGGCUGUGUCCUAAUUUGAAGGCUCGCUAUCAGCUUAGCAAGAAAGCAGAGACACAGGUGAAGGCCCUUGUUGAGUGCCGAGAAGAAGCCGGUCGACUUGAUAGAAUUUCCUACCUUACCUAUCCGGACAAGAUAUGGCUCAAGUCCCACAAAGGUUACGAGGCCUUUGGAUCAAGGCUUUCUACUUUGAAGUGUAUACAAAACGCUUUGACUGAUGUUAAUGUCAGCAUCGUUGGAGUGUACGGCAUGGGCGGCGUUGGAAAGACGACUCUAGCGAAGGAGAUCGUUAGGCAAGCCUUGGCAGACAAGCUCUUUGAUCAAAUAGCCUUUUCAGAGGUUUCCGAAACUGCAGACAUAAAAAAGAUUCAGCGGGAUAUUGCUGAGGACUUGGGUCUCGCAUGGCAUGAGGAAACUGAAUCUAGAACUGCGAGUAGACUGUAUGAACAGUUGAAGAAUGAGAAGAAGAUUCUUGUGGUUCUAGAUAACAUAUGGAAGCAUCUUGAUUUGGAGACUGUUGGAAUUCCUUUUGGUGAUGAUUAUAGAGGUUGUAAACUCUUGCUGAUAGCAAGAGAUCGUAAUGUUUUGUUGGAUAUGGAUUCUAAACAUAACUUCUUUAUUGACAACUUAAAUGAAGAAGAAGCUUGGAGAUUGUUUAAGACGAUGGCGGGUGAUUAUGUUGAAAAUCGUCAGCUGAAAUCUACAGCAACAGAUGUAGCCAAGGGAUGUGGAGGCUUGCCUAUUGCCUUAGCUACAACAGCAAGGGCAAUGAGAGACAAGACUGUGCAUGAAUGGAAGAAUGCCUUGCGAGAACUUCAGACGCCUUCAGUGAUGAACUUCGAAGGACUGCCGGCAGAUACUUAUGCAAGAAUCGAGCUGAGUUUCAAGUAUUUAAAAGGUGAGCAGCUCAAGAAAAUUUUUCUGCUUUGUAGUCUAAUGGGUAAUCCUAUUUUUACUUCAGACCUGUUUAAAUACUCCAUGGGUUUGGGUAUACUCCAAGGAGUCAAGAAGAUGGAAGAUGCACGAAACCAAUUAUAUGCAUUGGCCUAUAAACUUAAAGACUCUUGUUUGUUGCUUGAGGGAGGUAGCAGCGAACAAUUUUCAAUGCAUGACGUCGUUCGCGAUGUUGGCAUAUCAAUUGCUUACCGGGACCAACAUGUAUUUUUGGCAAAAAAUGAGGAUGUGUUGGAGCUGCCGGACAAGGAAGCACUUGUAAAUUGCUAUGCGAUUUCUAUAAGUGGUUGCCGUAUUCAGGAGCUUCCUCAAGGAUUGGAAUGCUUGCAACUCGAACUUUUAUAUAUAUCUCCCAAAGACUCUUACCUUCAAAUCAAUAUUCCUGAGAACAUUUUUGCAGGGAUGCGGAAGCUUAGAGUUGUAGAUUUUACUGGGAUGCAAUUAUGUUGCUUGCCAUCUUCAAUUGAUCUCUUAGUAAAUCUUCAAACACUAUGUUUGGAUCAAU